UUGAACGCUGGCGGCAGGCCUAACACAUGCAAGUCGAGCGGAUGAAGGGAGCUUGCUCCUGGAUUCAGCGGCGGACGGGUGAGUAAUGCCUAGGAAUCUGCCUGGUAGUGGGGGAUAACGUCCGGAAACGGGCGCUAAUACCGCAUACGUCCUGAGGGAGAAAGUGGGGGAUCUUCGGACCUCACGCUAUCAGAUGAGCCUAGGUCGGAUUAGCUAGUUGGUGGGGUAAAGGCCUACCAAGGCGACGAUCCGUAACUGGUCUGAGAGGAUGAUCAGUCACACUGGAACUGAGACACGGUCCAGACUCCUACGGGAGGCAGCAGUGGGGAAUAUUGGACAAUGGGCGAAAGCCUGAUCCAGCCAUGCCGCGUGUGUGAAGAAGGUCUUCGGAUUGUAAAGCACUUUAAGUUGGGAGGAAGGGCGGUAAGUUAAUACCUUACUGUUUUGACGUUACCAACAGAAUAAGCACCGGCUAACUUCGUG
rnacentral:rRNA from 1 species